GACGAACCGUGCGAACGUUGUUCGGAAUCACUGGGCUUAAAGGGCGCGUAGGCGGCAGAUCAAGUCCGGGGUGAAAUCCUCCAGCUCAACUGGAGAAGUGCCUUGGAUACUGAUUUGCUCGAGGGAGGUAGGGGCCCGCGGAACUUCUGGUGGAGCGGUGAAAUGCGUUGAUAUCAGAAGGAACGCCGGUGGCGAAAGCGGCGGGCUGGAUCUCUACUGACGCUGAGGCGCGAAAGCUAGGGGAGCAAACGGG
rnacentral:rRNA from 1 species